rnacentral:rRNA from 1 species
CGAAACUCCGCAAUGCGCGAAAGCGCGACGGGGCCACCCCGAGUGCCAUCCGCUGAGGGUGGCUUUUCCCUAGUGUAGUAAGCUAGGGGAAUAAGCGGGGGGCAAGUCUGGUGUCAGCCGCCGCGGUAAUACCAGCUCCGCGAGUGGUCGGGACGAUUAUUGGGCCUAAAGCGUCCGUAGCCGGCCUAACAAGUCUCUGGUUAAAUCUCAAGGCUUAACCUUGAGAUCGCUGGAGAUACUGUUAGGCUAGGGGGCGGGAGAGGUUGAGGGUACUUCGCGGGUAGGGGCGAAAUCCUAUAAUCCGCGAAGGACCACCAGUGGCGAAGGCGCUCAACUGGAACGCGCCCGACGGUGAGGGACGAAAGCUAGGGGAGCAAAGGGGAUUAGAUACCCCCGUAGUCCUAGCUGUAAACGAUGCGGGCUAGGUGUUGGGUUGGCUUCGUGCCAACCCAGUGCCGCAGCGAAGGCGAUAAGCCCGCCGCCUGGGAAGUACGGCCGCAAGGCUGAAACUUAAAGGAAUUGGCGGGGGAGCACCACAAGGGGUGAAGCCUGCGGUUUAAUUGGAGUCAACGCCGGGAAUCUUACCGGGAGCGACAGCAGGAUGAAGGCCAAGCUGACGACUUUGCCAGACAGGCUGAGAGGAGGUGCAUGGCCGUCGCCAGUUCGUGCCGUGAGGUGUCCGGUUAAGUCCGGCAACGAACGAGACCCCCACCCUAUGUUGCUAGGUCCUCUCUACGGAGGGGACCGCACACGUAGGGGACCGCCAGUGUUAAACUGGAGGAAGGAGGGGGCUACGGCAGGUCAGCAUGCCCCGAAUCUCCCGGGCCACACGCGGGCUGCAAUGGCGAGGACAGCGGGUUCCGGCCCCGAGAGGGGAAGGCAAUCCCUUAAACCUCGCCGUAGUUGGGAUUGAGGGCUGUAACCCGCCCUCAUGAACAUGGAUCCCUAGUAACCGCGUGUCACCAUC